GGCGACGGCAGCGCCUCCUCCGCCACCAAACUCCUGGGGCUCCGCGGGGGCUUGGGGCCACCUCCUCCUGAGCCCGGAGGAACCCUCUCCCGAUAGGUUCCAGCGUGACUCCCUCCCACUCCACCCUUUUCCUUUCUUCUUCCUCUUUUUUUUUUUUUUUUUUAAACACAUUUUUUUCCUGGCUUCGGACCUCAGACUGCUGCAGCCCUAACCUUCCCAGGGCUCAGCUCUUUGGAGCUGCCCAUUCCUCCGGCUGCGAGAAAGGACGCGCGCCCUGCGUCGGGCGAAGAAAAGAAGCAAAACUUGUCGGGAGGGUUUCGUCAUCAACCUCCUUCCCGCAAACCUAAACCUCCUGCCGGGGCCAUCCCUAGACAGAGGAAAGUUCCUGCAGAGCCGACCAGCCCUAGUGGAUCUGGGGCAGGCAGCGGCGCUGGCUGUGGAAUUAGAUCUGUUUUGAACCCAGUGGAGCGCAUCGCUGGGGCUCGGAAGUCACCGUCCGCGGGCACCGGGUUGGCGCUGCCCGAGUGGAACCGACAGUUUGCGAGCCUCGGCUGCAAGUGGCCUCUCCUCCCCGCGGUUGUUGUUCAGUGUCGGGUGAGGGCUGCGAGUGUGGCAAGUUGCAAAGAGAGCCUCAGAGGUCCGAAGAGCGCUGCGCUCCUACUCGCGUUCGCUUCUUCCUCUUCUCGGUUCCCUACUGUGAAAUCGCAGCGACAUUUACAAAGGCCUCCGGGUCCUACCGAGACCGAUCCGCAGCGUUUGGCCCGGUCGUGCCUAUUGCAUCGGGAGCCCCCGAGCACCGGCGAAGGACUGGCGGGUGGGGUAGGGAGGUGGCGGCGGCGGCAUGGCGAGGUUCCCGAAGGCCGACCUGGCCGCUGCAGGAGUUAUGUUACUUUGCCACUUCUUCACGGACCAGUUUCAGUUCGCCGAUGGGAAACCCGGAGACCAAAUCCUUGCCCUUGAUCAUCUUUGGAAGCUUCAUAAAGAACUGAGACCUUAAAAAUGGAAAAUUUAGAAAGAACAAACCAUUAAUGUAGUAGUAAGCAUAAAGUUGGUUUUCACAGUUGUGUAACAGAUUUCUGUAAGCUCUCUUUCUGGAAAUACACAGUCUUAACUUCCAGCUGCCUGACACAUGAUGAACACCUACAAUAUGAUGCCCUUAAAUCCUCCCUCAAUUUCCUAACAAGCACAUGGCUACCAUUGCCACAUUCCUGAUUAUUAUUUCAGCCAUCUCAAAGAUUCUUAUAUGCUUCUGCUGGCUUCACAAAUUCACACUUUCCCCCCUCAUUUAUACUUCAUUGCCAAUGAAAAAAAUAAAUUACUGGAAUGGAUACAUUGCAAAAAAAUUAUCUUGUAGGUAAUUUGUAGUUUUCUUGGCUCUUUAGAAUGAUUGAAAACAAAGGAAAUUAGAUGUAUUUUUUGGGAGGUGGAACUGAAUAGCAAUAUAAUUGAUUUAUGUAGUCUUAGGGUAUUCUUUAUUUGUUUAGUGGCUUAAACAACACAAAUUUAUUGUCCUGCAUUUCUGGAGGUCACAAGUCCUCAAAUCAAGUUGUUGAAAUGCUGUAUUCCUUCUGGAAGCUCUAGGAAAGAAUUUGUUUCCUUCCCUUUUGCAGCUUCUAGAGCUCAUCUACAUCCCUUGGCCUGUGGCCCCAUCUUCCUUAUUCUAAGCCGGCAAAGUUGCAUUUCUCUGAUCUUUCUUCCGUGGGACACCGCUGGCUAAAUCUCCUGUUCUGCCUCUUUCUCACACUUAAAAGGAACCUUGUGAUUACACUAGGCCCACAUGGAUAAUUGAGGAUAGUCUCCCUAUCUUAAAGUCAAUUGAUGAGUAACUUUAAUUCCAUCUGCAAUUUCCACCUAGAAUUUCCCAUUCUGUUCCCAAACUGAUACGGGGUUCAUUCACCCAGUGCACAGAACAAGACAAUACUGACACCAGGAUUUGCAGCAAGAGAAAGUGAACUAAUUAUUGCAUGGUCCCAAGCAAGGAGAAUAGGCUGCUACUGCUUAAGACCUGAACUUCCAGAUGGCCAAGAGGCAAAGAAUUGAAAGGCAGGGGUACAUUUUAGAAAAGAAGAACUUACAGGCAAAAUUGUACAUCAAUACAUGGAGGUUAUACAUUGGUUUGGCCCAGCAGGGUGGGAUAUCUUCAAGUGGGGUCUUACAGGUCAUUGGUAAGUUUAGAGAUUCUUUGAUUUGCAAUUGGUCAAGGAAGCAAGGCUUUGUCUAAAAAGUUGGGGUCAGCAGAAAAGAAUAUGAUAGUUUGGCCUGUGGGUUUUCCUCUAUCCAGGUGACCCUCAGGAAGAAAUUUAGAACAAAGAAGAAUGACAAUUGGAAUUCGGUCCUCCUUUCCCUCUUUUUUUUUUUUUUUUUUUUGACAGAGUUUCCAUCUUGUUGCCCAGGCUGGAGUGCAAUGUUGCGAUCUUGGCUCACUGCAAUAUCCACCUCCUGAGUACAAGCAAUUCUCCUGCCUCAGCCUCUUGAGUAUCUGGGAUUAUAGGUAUCCACCACCACGCCCAGCUAAUUUUGUAUUUUUGGUGGAGAUGGGGUUUUACUCUGUUGGUCAGCCUGGUUUCAAACUCCUGACCUCAGGUGAUCCACCAGCCUCAGCCUCCCAAAGUGCUGGGAUUAUAGGCAUAAGCCACCACUCCUGGCCUCCGUUCCCUCUUGUCUGAGGCCUAUGUGACAGGGCUCAGCAUUUUCCAACUGGUGGAGAUCUGUAUUUCUGUAGAACGUCUCAGGGACAUAGGUCAAGGGGUAUGUUCAGUUUCUAUAAGGAGCCAAACAUCGGGUAACUUUAACUUACUUGGGGGCUAUUUUUUAAGCUAUUAUUACCUUCUUACUUCUCAGGUUGCUCCCUGACUCCUCAAGGCUAACUAAGUACCUGCAAUUUCUCUUGAAGGGACUCACAAUUUUUCCUUUAUUUCCAUGCUUGUGGGGAGGCGUGUGGCAGGCUUCUAGAGGCCACUCACAAACUGGGGCUCAUGGCCUUCUUCCAUAUUCAGACCAACAGCAUCACAUCUUCAAAUUCCUCUCUCACUCACCAGUCUCGGGGUAUUCUCAAUGUGCGAAGAAAGAUCUGGUGGAGGUAAAGUUUCAUCCUUGGAAACUGCAGAAAAAAAUAUAGUGUGUAUGUAUAAAUGUACCCUUGAAAAAUCAGAAGGAGAGCCUCUCUGAAAUUUGGUUAUUUGUUGUCAACAUUAAUAAAUACAUUGUAAUAAAAUGUCUGUAAAAUAUCAGCAUUAAAAAUAUUAGAAAGUUUCAACUAGGUUUAAACAAGUCAUUUGUCAAUGCCUAUUUAGAAAUUAAAACUGUUAUCUGGGGGCUGUAGAACCCGUUUCAAUGUGAUACGUGGCUUUGUAAUGUUUUUAUUUAUUUUAUAUUUUUUGAAUUGAAUUGAAAAAGCUCUUUUUUAACCUUUAUUUUGGGUUUGGGGGUACAUGUGGAGGUUUGUUACAUAGACAGAUUGUGUUUCACGGGGAAUUUGUGUAGAGAUUAUUUUGUCACCGAGGUAAUAGGCAUAAUACCCGAUAGGUAGUUUUUUUGAUCCUCUCUCUCCUCCCACCCGCCACCCUCAAUAGUCUCCAGUGUCUGUCAUUCCCUUCUUUGUGACCAUUUCUUCUCAAUAUUUAGCUUAAUAGGUAGUUUUAUAUGAGAUUUGGAAGCUUAGUCUAGUCAUCUUCAUGUGCAUUAAAAUAAGGGAGUCCAUGUGCCCAGGAGUUCUGCCAACGUUUAGCAAACUAUUGGCACAUUCUCGGAAAUAGCAACCAAUGUCUUGCAAUGUCUGCACCUGAUCAAAAUGUAAUGUAGUUUAUUCAUUUUCUGACUCUAUAAAAUUAGCUUGAAAAGAAAAUGUUAACUCUAUGCCAUUGAAACAAAAAAUAUGACCCUUAUUUUUAAAUUCAUAUUUAGUUACAUAAUUACCCAGUCAGUAGGUAGAGACCACUACUAGUGUAUAUUCUGUUGAUUUAUUUUCAAAAAAUUUACCCUCUGUUUAAUAAAAUACAUUUGUUUUCCUUGAAAA
rnacentral:lncRNA from 1 species